GUUUUGGUGUAUUGUGGUGAUUUAGUGUAAUUUUUUUUUCUAGAAGGCUAGUAGAGCGAGAAGUCCCUCAAGAAGAAAGAGGGGCGAAGACAUUUAAGGAAUCGCAGAAAAAGAUCUAUAGAUGUUCCAAAUGUGGCUUCCAAACGCCAUAUCACCCCAGUUUUUAUAAGCACAAGAAAAUUCACUUGGCACGGGAAGAACGACAGUUGGAGGAAUUGCAGAAAGAGGUCUAUAGAUGUUCCACAUGUAGCUAUCAAACAACAUAUAAGUCCAAUUUUAACAGCCACAAGAAAACUCACUUGGCACCUGAAGAACGACAGAUGUUUGCUUGUCUGCAUUGCGACAAAACAUAUACAAGAAAAGGACGCUUACAAUGCCACCUUCGGAAUAAUCAUAUUGAUUUGAGCUAUCAAACAACAAGUAAGUCCAAUUUUAACAGCCACAAGAAAACUCACUUGGUACCUGAAGAACGACAGAUGUUUGCUUGUCUGCAUUGCGACAAAACAUAUACAAGAAAAGGCCGCUUACAAUGCCACCUUCGGAAUAAUCAUAUUGAUUUGAGGUAUUUUUUUUGUUUAAGAAUUAUACAUAGAUCAUUACAGUUUCAUAAAAAAGAGUAGAGAUUAUUAGCAAUAACCUCCCAGCUAUAAUGACAACAUAUGUGGGAUUCUGUUGUAAAUUUU